rnacentral:rRNA from 1 species
GACGAACCGUACGAACGUUAUUCGGAAUUACUGGGCUUAAAGGGUGCGUAGGCUGCGCAGUAAGUUGGGUGUGAAAUCCCUCGGCUUAACCGAGGAACUGCGCCCCAAAACUACUGUGCUCGAGGGAGACAGAGGUGAGCGGAACUUAGGGUGGAGCGGUGAAAUGCGUUGAUAUCCUAAGGAACACCUGUGGCGAAAGCGGCUCACUGGGUCUCUUCUGACGCUGAGGCACGAAAGCUAGGGUAGCGAACGGG